rnacentral:rRNA from 1 species
GGAAGGAUCAUUACCGAAUUGUCGACACGAGUUGUUGCUGGUCCUCAAACGGGGGCAUGUGCACACUCUGUUUACACAUCCACUCACACCUGUGCACCCUCUGUAGUUCUGUGGCCUGGGGGACUCUGUCCUCCUGCCGUGGUUCUAUGUCUUUACACACACACACACUGUAAUAAAGUCUUAUGGAAUGCAUGCCGCGUUUAACGCAAUACAAUACAACUUUCAGCAACGGAUCUCUUGGCUCUCGCAUCGAUGAAGAACGCAGCGAAAUGCGAUAAGUAAUGUGAAUUGCAGAAUUCAGUGAAUCAUCGAAUCUUUGAACGCACCUUGCGCCCUUUGGCUAUUCUGAAGGGCAUGCCUGUUUGAGUAUCAUAAACACCUCAACUCUCAUGGUUUUACAUGAUGAGCUUGGACUUUGGAGGUCUUGCUGGCCUGUGGUCAGCUCCUCUCAAAUGAAUCAGCUUGCCAGUGUUUGGUGGCAUCAUAAGUGUGAUAACUAUCUGUGCUUGUGGUUCUCCACCUGGUAACCUUCAGUGAUGAAGGUUCGCUGGAGCUCAUAAAUGUCUCUCUUCAACGAGGACAGAUUUUUGGAAUUUUAUCUCAAAUCAGGUAGGACUACCCGCUGAACUUAAGCAUAUCAAUAAGCGGAGGAAAAGAAACUAACAAGGAUUCCCCUAGUAACUGCGAGUGAAGCGGGAAAAGCUCAAAUUUAAAAUCUGGCGUGCCUCUGGUCG